rnacentral:rRNA from 1 species
CGGCAGGCUUACACAUGCAGUCGAGGGGUACAGGUUCUUCGGAGAUGCUGACGACGGCGCACGGGUGAGUAACGCGUAUGCACCUACCUUUACAGGAGGAUAGCUUCCGGAAACGGAAAUUAAUACUCCAUAGUACUAAUGAAUCACCUGGUUUAUUAGUUAAAACUCCGGUGGUAAAAGAUGGGCAUGCGUGUCAUUAGCUAGUUGGUAAGGUAACGGCUUACCAAGGCGAAGAUGACUAGGGGUUCUGAGAGGAAGAUCCCCCACACUGGUACUGAGACACGGACCAGACUCCUACGGGAGGCAGCAGUGAGGAAUAUUGGUCAAUGGGUGAGAGCCUGAACCAGCCAUGCCGCGUGAAGGAAGACUGCCCUAUGGGUUGUAAACUUCUUUUCUGCAGGAAGAAAUCACUCUACGUGUAGGGUGUUGCCGGUACUGCAGGAAUAAGCAUCGGCUAACUCCGUGCCAGCAGCCGCGGUAAUACGGAGGAUGCAAGCGUUAUCCGGAUUUAUUGGGUUUAAAGGGUGCGUAGGCGGGCUUGUAAGUCAGUGGUGAAUGCUGUGGCUUAACCAUAGAAUUGCCAUUGAAACUGCAAGUCUUGAGUACAGUUGAGGUGGGCGGAAUGAGUAAUGUAGCGGUGAAAUGCAUAGAUAUUACUCAGAACACCGAUUGCGAAGGCAGCUUGCUAAACUGUAACUGACGCUGAUGCACGAAAGCGUGGGUAGCAAACAGGAUUAGAUACCCUGGUAGUCCACGCAGUAAACGAUGAGCACUGGUUGUUGGCAAUACACCGUCAGCGACUGAGCGAAAGCAUUAAGUGCUCCACCUGGGGAGUACGUCGGCAACGAUGAAACUCAAAGGAAUUGACGGGGGCCCGCACAAGCGGAGGAACAUGUGGUUUAAUUCGAUGAUACGCGAGGAACCUUACCUGGGCUUAAAUGUAGAGUGCAUGACGUAGAAAUAUGUCUUUCCUUCGGGACUCUUUACAAGGUGCUGCAUGGUUGUCGUCAGCUCGUGCCGUGAGGUGUCGGGUUAAGUCCCAUAACGAGCGCAACCCCUAUUGUUAGUUACCAGCACGUAAUGGUGGGAACUCUAGCAAGACUGCCGGUGUAAACCGUGAGGAAGGUGGGGAUGACGUCAAAUCAGCACGGCCCUUAUGUCCAGGGCUACACACGUGUUACAAUGGCAAGUACAAAGGGCAGCCACCUGGCAACAGGGCGCUAAUCCCAAAAGCUUGUCUCAGUUCGGAUCGAAGUCUGCAACUCGACUUCGUGAAGGUGGAUUCGCUAGUAAUCGCGCAUCAGCCAUGGCGCGGUGAAUACGUUCCCGGGCCUUGUACACACCGCCCGUCAAGCCAUG